AAAUGAACAAACUAUUUGAGGAAGUUGUGGAACAGUUCAAAUAAUUCUAAUUUCGUGUCCUCAUUGCCUGAUUUUUCGCUGUCUUCAGAAAUGCUCUUAGAGUUGGACAUGAACAUCCAACAAGGGUUGUUUACUGUUCCCUAGGAAAUCAUUUACCAGAAUUCAAUCCCAGAUAUAAUAUUGUCCAGAACAGAUCUCCUACCAAAAAAUCAUCUAUCCGAAUAAACUAACCCUCAGGAAAUCAUAUCCCAAAAUGAAGUAACUUCCAGAAAAAUGAUUUCCUAGAAAAUUUUUCACCAGAACAAAUGUACUUCUACGUAAGCUGGACACAAGAAUAACUAUGCCCAAUGCGGCUUUCCCGCGUCGUUACGAAGCGUGUGCUGUCCAAAUGUCGCUACUGCUCGUUCCAUACUACAACAGCAGCAAAUCUAACUACAGCCACACCCCAACCCAGCUUUCCGGUCUCGGUUCGACGAUGAUUCCAUAAAUUCUAGACCGACUGGAAUACUUCGUAAUAGUAGGUUGUUCCGUUUUGCGUGGAAUUACCCACCUGGGCUUAACAUGUUUCGAUCAAGUUCCUCCCAUAAAAGUUCGAAGGGGCUUAUAUCUGGUGUUGAAAGUUUGAAAGUGUUAGCUUGUAACAUUAUACAGUGUAUUUCGAAACAAUGA